UAAAUUGUUGCCAAAACCUGAGGCUAAGGCACACCUUGUCUGAAGCUCACACUCGUCCUGUGACAAUUAUCUAACAACAAGAGAUGGGAGGAGGAAUGGAUUCUCUCAGCAAAGGGCAGUAAAAACGAAGGAAACAGACUCCAUCAAGACCUCCCAGUCUGAACAGGAGACUUGCACUGCAGGUCUUGGAAACAGGAUUGCUUCUGAUUAUGUACAGUUAGUGCUUGCAGGAAUAAGACCCAGAUCCCAACUGAAAGCUCCAGGAACCACAAAGAGCAGGACUGGACAGUGUGCAAUUAGAAGGGU